rnacentral:rRNA from 1 species
UACGGAAGAUGCGAGCGUUAUCCGGAUUUAUUGGGUUUAAAGGGAGCGUAGGCGGGCUUUUAAGUCAGCGGUCAAAUGCCACGGCUCAACCGUGGCCAGCCGUUGAAACUGCAAGCCUUGAGUCUGCACAGGGCACAUGGAAUUCGUGGUGUAGCGGUGAAAUGCUUAGAUAUCACGAAGAACUCCGAUCGCGAAGGCAUUGUGCCGGGGCAGCACUGACGCUGAGGCUCGAAAGUGUGGGUAUCAAACAGG